rnacentral:rRNA from 1 species
CCUACGGGGGCAGCAGUGGGGAAUAUUGGACAAUGGGCGAAAGCCUGAUCCAGCCAUGCCGCGUGUGUGAAGAAGGCCUUCGGGUUGUAAAGCACUUUCAGUGGGGAAGAAAGCCUUGGGGCUAAUACCCUCGAGGAAGGACAUCACCCACAGAAGAAGCACCGGCUAACUCCGUGCCAGCAGCCGCGGUAAUACGGAGGGUGCGAGCGUUAAUCGGAAUUACUGGGCGUAAAGCGCGCGUAGGCGGUCUGAUAAGCCGGUUGUGAAAGCCCCGGGCUCAACCUGGGAACGGCAUCCGGAACUGUCAGGCUAGAGUGCAGGAGAGGAAGGUAGAAUUCCCGGUGUAGCGGUGAAAUGCGUAGAGAUCGGGAGGAAUACCAGUGGCGAAGGCGGCCUUCUGGACUGACACUGACGCUGAGGUGCGAAAGCGUGGGUAGCAAACAGGAUUAGAUACCCCAGUAGUC